GUGGCUGCGCGCGGCGGAGCCUGUCAGCGGCGGCUGAGGCGCCACCAUGGGCGACGACAUGGAUCUCAUCCCCGAGCGGGAGAUGAAGGAUUUUCAAUUCAGAGCCCUGAAGAAAGUCCAGAUAUUUGAAGCCCCUGAUGAGCUCCCGAAAGACCGUUCCAGUCUCCUUGCUGUGUCAAACAAAUAUGGAUUAGUCUUUGCUGGCCGGGCAGCUGAGGUGCAGAUCUUUCAAACGAAAGACCUGCUGCUGCAAAAUGAAGCAGGGGAAUCUCCCAAUAAAAUUGUGGAGAACGUCCAGAGUGUUCUUGUGCCCAUGAAGUUCCCAGUGCAUCAUUUGGCACUCAGUUGCGAUAAUCUCAUAAUUUCUGUCUGCAUGGCGUCCAGCGACUGUGGGUCUUUCAUCGGCUUUUUUGAUGUCCGUACUUUUGCUAAUCAGUCUAAACAACAGAAGCGUCCCAUCGCUUUUCAUAAGCUGCCCAAGGAAGCGGGCAGCAUGGCACUGGUCAGCGACCUGAAGUGGAACCCUGUGAAUCCUUCCAUGCUGGCCCUCUGUGUCUCCGAUGGCAGCGUCUGCGUCCUGCAGGUCACAGACACCGUGAAGGUGCACGCUACUCUUCCCGCCUCAGUGGGUGCGACGUCAGUGUGCUGGAGCCCCAAAGGGAAGCAGCUGGCUGUGGGCAGACUGAACGGCACAGUGGUCCAAUAUCUGCCUAACCUGCAGGAGAAGAAAAUCAUUCCUUGCCCUCCAUUCUACGAGGCUGAUAAUCCAGUGAAAGUCCUGGAUGUGUUGUGGGUAGGCACUUACGUCUUCACGAUUGUAUACGCAGCUGCAGAUGGGACUUUGGAGACUCCGCCCGAAGUGGUGAUGGUUGUGCUUCCGAAAAAAGAAGAAAAACGACCGGAGAGGUUUGUCAACUUUAUGGAGCCCUGUUACAGUAGCUGCACCGAGAGGCAGCAUCACUACUUCCUUAACUAUGUGGAGGACUGGGAUCUGGUCCUAGCAGCUUCUGCGGCUUCCACAGAAGUCAGUAUCCUCUCAAGACAAGGAGACCAGAACAACUGGGAGCUGUGGGUUCUGGAAGACUCCAGCCGGGCAGAACUUCCUGUAACAGACAAGAGCGAUGACACCUUGCCUGUGGGUGUGGCCAUAGAUUACACCAGCAGCACGCCCAUAACCAUUAGUGAGGAGAAGACCAUGGACCCAGCUCCAGUCCUGCUGCUGCUUUCUACCGAUGGAGUGUUGUGUCCCUUUUAUAUGGUCAAUGAAAACCCUGGUGUGAGGUCACUCCUUGUGACACCAGAGCCUUUGCCAAUGGAAGGGGAUAGAACGCCAAAGCUGCCAGGAAGUACUGCUGCUUCAUCUACGACUCCUUUUUCUCCUCCAAAGGCCGAAACUGCCCCGGCAGGAGCUGCUGUCCUUGCCCCAGCUGUGUCUUCAGUCGCUGGUGGUGGGGUGGCCACUUUCUCUUUUGCAUCCUCUGUGUUAAAACCAGCCGGGCCAGCUCCAGAAGCCCCCCUGCCCUAUUCCUUCCCCUCGGAGCCCUCGAAGCCUGCCUCUUGUCCCAGCCAGAGUGGACCAGCUGGGUUCUGCUUCACAUCCGGAGCAUCUAACAGAGCAGCCUCAAAUCCAGCCCUCUCAGCCAGUUUGGCUCCAGCCUCUGCCGGCUCCUUCUCUUUUGGCUCUGUGUCUUUUCAAACUGGGGCAGAUGCUUCAGCUGGGCCUCCGCUCACGGCCUCCCCCGUCGGGCUGAAGCAAAGUUUUUCCUCCGCAGCUUCGUCCGUCAAGGUUAAUCUUGCCGAGAAGUUCUCAGCUGUGGAAUCUGCCCUGCCCUCUGCCAGCAUCGGUCAAAGCUCCACCAUGUUCUCCUUUACGCCGAAGCCUACAGGGCCUCUGAGCCAGUCCACUCCUCUCUCUGCUCCUGCUGCCUCGUCGGCCAAGGUUUCCACCCCUGCGGCUGCAGCAACCGUGCGUCCUGCUCAGAGUGCCUCCGCUGUCCCUGGGGUCCAGAAAGCAGCCAAGACUUCUCCGACUGUAUCAAAGACGGGCUCUUCACAGGGUCGGCCAAUGUCUAGCAGUGCCGGGAUGGAGAAGCAAGUUCAUCAGUGGAAGGAUUCGGACCCUGUCAUAGCAGGGAUAAGGGAGGAGAUAGCACAUUUCCAGAAGGAGAUGGAAGAACUGAAAAGUCAGACAGCCAAAGCCUCGUUCCAGGUGGGUUCUGAUGAGGAAAAGAAGAUGCUGAAGACAGAAUCAAAUGACCUCCACACCUUCCUCUUGGAGAUCAAGGAGACCACGGAGUCCCUUCAUGGAGACAUCAGCCUCCUGAAGACGAGCCUCCUGGAAGGAUUUGCAGGUCUGGGGGAAGCGAGAGAGAAAGAGGAGCGAACCCACAGCUCUGAGUAUUUGCACCUGCUAUAUAAGAAGCCUCUGGAUCCAAAGAGCGAAGCCCAGCUUCAGGAAAUCCGACGCUUGCAUCAGUACGUGAAGUUUGCUGUUCAGGACGUGAACGAUGUUCUGGAUUUGGAAUGGGACUGGCAUCUGGAACAGCAAAAAAAGCUAAGACGCUUAAUGGUGCCCGAGAGAGAGACUUUGUUCAAUACCCUCACUAAUAAUCGAGAGAUAAUUAACCAGCAGAGGAAACGGCUGAAGAACUUGGUGGACAGCCUGCAACAGCUUCACUUGUACCAGCAGACCUCGCAGUGGAACCUCCCUCAUGACUCCUCCGCCCACAGCAGCGUCCAGAGCCUUGACAGCGAACUUGAAAGCUUGGGUAACGCCUUGAUGAAAUUUACCAUGGAAUCUUGCCCCAAGAGUUUGCCCAAAGGACCCGCGAAAUUGUCCCCAGUGAAGCAGGCGCAACUACGGAAUUUCCUGUCCAAAAGGAAGAUGCCGCCCAUAAGGUCAACAGCUCCAGCAAAUCUCUCCCAGUCGGCUUUCCUGUGCCCGAGGAAUGAUGAAGACUUGGACGAUGUUAGCUCCACAUCUUCGGUUCCUCAGGCCCCAGAGAAUGAAGAUUCUCAAGCAGUGGAUCAAGAGGAAGAGCUGGCCGUCCCGAUCCAAGUGCCCCGCCAUGCCCCUGUUGUCCGAACUCCUUCGGUUCAGCCCGGGCUCAUGCCGCAGCCCUUGCCUGUUGGCAAAGCCCACCUUUCAAUGAACGCUUUGAUAUCCACCCCCAAAAUCAUACCCCAAGGGGCAGACAGCACCAUGCUGGCCACGAAGACUGUGAAGCAUGGGGCCCCCGCCCCGUCUGUCACUAUCCCAGCGCCUCAGGCAGCGGCAGAAGCUGCUCUGCGGAGACAGAUGGCCAACCAGAACCCAGCUGUGAGCACUUCUUUGACUGAGUCCACUUUGAAGAAUGUCCCUCAAGUGGUGAACGUGCGAGAACUAAAAAACCAUGCCUCUCCUCCUGCCAUCGCUACAGUAACAGGAUCAUCAGUUCCUCAGUCCACAACUCAAGUUACACACCAGGUUUUGACUGUGACUGCUACAACCCAAGCCAACCAGGUUCCUCUGGCAGGUUCCCUUACGAUGCAACCUCCACCCACCUCAACAUCCCCAUCAGGUGUCGUCACAACAUCCACCAGUCCAACAACUUUGGGCAAAAAGAACUCAGGGACAACGAAGACCGCUGUGUCCGUCACCUCGUCUGCUGCAGCUCCUACCCCACCGACUCCUGCCCAGUUCAGCAAGGCAUUUGCAUUUCACUCCUCAGGCAUCUUCCUUGGGGCAACUCGCUCUCAUCAUUUGCGGCCUGGAUUUAACUUUGCCGCAGUUCCCUCAAGCCCUGCAAUGCCUGGCCCAGCUUCUGCACAAGCACUAACCACCCCUGCAAAAGAAUCAAGCCAGCCUGAUCCAUUUUCCCUCGGCGGCAAUGCUAAAUUUGGAACUGUUUCAGAGAGCCCAUUUGCUUUUGGAUCCACAAAACCAUCCAGCCUUUCAGGAGCUUCGGUGACAAGCAGUGGCUCUGGAGAUCCCAGCCAGGUGAAUAGCCAAGCAGUCACAGCUGCAACUUCUGUUUCCUCCACAACCUCCACCAAAUUGGAGAACCUUCCGUUGAAACAUGGAGACCAGGUGUUCCAGGGCACUGCCGCCGGAGAGACGCUUGGGAGUUUCUCCGGCCUUAGAGUGGGCCAAGCAGAUGAGAACGCCAAGGCCGCCCCUCCCAAACUCCCAUGUGCUACUACGGCAAGCGGACCCCUGCCGAAAGCAACUGCGGUGCCUUCUGGAUUCACUAUUGGAAGCUCUCUGCAAGUAGGCAAACCAGCAGACGCUGCUGUGACCUCAGGCACAACCACCAGUUCACCGUCUGUAGCAGUCGGCGCAGGCACCAUCUUUGGCAGUGUCCAGUUAGUCAAUACGGGGGCUUCUGGUGUCUUCAGCAUGGGAGCAUUGCCAGGUGGCAAUAAGCCACCGUUUACAUUUGGCAUCCAACAAGCGAAUGCUCCGGUGGUAUCGUCCUCUCUCUCGACGCUGCCUGCAGCCUCGCCAGCUCUCUCAUUUGGAAGUCUGUUGAGUUCAGCAGCAGCAGCAGCAGCUGUCCCUCCUGUGCCCCCUGGUAAAGGAGAGGCAGAUGCCAGAACCACCCCAGCACCUGAAAAGCCAUCUCCAAACCACGCAGUUCUGCCUGGAGCGGCACAGCCACAAGGACAGGCCCCGGAGCUUCCUCAAGAGUCGCCUUCUCAAGAGUCGCCGUCUCCAAGAGCGGAAGAUGUUGUCAGCCCCGCUUGUGCUUCAGCGGCACCCACUGGAGUUUCCACCUCACCGUCCAGUGAUUCGAAGGCAGAGGCGCCUCCGCCGGUCUCCGCUUCUGACCAGCAUGCUUCGGUGACUUCAGCUCCAGCGAACAUAACCUUGCAGCCCACAGAUGCUGCCAACACACCGCCCUCUUCCUCCAGCACAAGCACAUCCCUCCAGGUACCGACCACAGGGACGUUGGCAUUCACAGUUGCUGCCGCAAGCCCUUCCAUGUUCGUACAGCCCCCCGUUUCCAGUUCUUCUAGCUCAGCAUUCAGCCAGCCUGCGACAGACGCUGGGGCUAGCCCCACCACACCCCCAGUCUUUGGCCAGCUCUCUGCAGCUACUACGGCAUCUUCUCUGUUUGGCCAGCCUGUUCCCACACCAGCCUCCGCCUCCACUGCCAUUACCCAGGGAGCAGCAACUGGAUUUAACACAUCUGCUUUUGCUGCGGCAAGUACCACGGGCUUUGGCCAGCCAGCCUUCGGCCAGGCCCCGGCCUUUGGCCAGCCAGCGAGCACGGCAAGCAGCUUCACUUUCAGCCAGACGGCUUUUGGGGCAACUCCCACUUUUGGCCAGGCUGCUUCCUCCACCACUCCGGCUUCCAGCAGCGGGCAUGUUUUUGGCGUGCCAUCCAGCACAAGCACCACCAGUUCCUUCUCUUUCGGACAGCCCUCUGGCACCACAGGUGGUGGGCUUUUUGGCCAAAGUAGUACACCAGCUUUUGGACAGAGUUCCGGUUUUGGCCAAGGAGGGACAGUCUUUGGUAGUGCGGCUGCUACCACCCCGACAUCUUCCGCUGGCUUCAGCUUCAGUCAAGCUUCAGCAUUUGGUUCCAGCAAUGCAGGUUCUGUGUUCGGGCAGGCAGCCAACACCGGCAGCAACCUCUUCGGCCAGCAGCCCUCUCCCAGUGGGGGCCUCUUUGGUUCUGGAAGUGGGGGAAGAGGAAUGGCCUUCUUCAGCGGGCUGGGAGGAAAGCCAAGCCACGAUGCGGCAAAUAAAAAUCCAUUCAGUUCGGCUGGCCCAGGGUUUGGAUCCCCAGCCACCCAGAAUACAUCGAGCCUUUUUGGAAACAGCGGAGCCAAGACCUUUGGGUUUGGUACUUCCCCCCCCUCUUCCUUUGGCGAGCAGAAGCCAGCGGGCACGUUCAGCUCCGGCGGAGGGAGCGUGGCAUCUCAGGGCUUCGGGUUCUCCAGCCCAACUAAAGCAGGUGGCUUCGGAGCUGCUCCAGUGUUCGGCAGCCCUCCUACUUUUGGGGGGUCCCCUGGGUUUGGAGGGGUGCCAGCAUUCGGUUCAGCCCCAGCCUUUUCAAGCCCUCUGGGCUCGACGGGAGGCAAAGUCUUCGGCGAGGGGACAGUGGCAGCCAACACCGGAGGAUUUGGUUUUGGCGGCACAGCCAGCACGGCAUCUUUUGGCACGUUGGCAAGUCAGAACACCCCUACUUUUGGAUCCCUGUCCCAGCAAUCUCCCGGGUUUGGCUCUCAGGGCAGCGGAUUCUCCGGCUUUGGGUCCAGUGGAGGAGGCUUUGGCUUUGGAUCAUCAAAUGCGUAAGUUCUUACCACUGCCUCGUGCCUUUCUUUGAGUGUGAAAGGAAGCAUCUUUGGGGGUGAAAGAUCAACCUCUGGGUUCAGUGGCUGGAGAAGCUGAGGAGAAGCCAAACCGUUUCGCCCUGUUGUCAGAUGAACCGGGACCCUCCU